UUUCCUUGAAGCCUCUAUUGUCAUCUGUCGUUGGUACCGCUUCAUGAAUUUACCAGCAACGUGUUGAACAAAGAGAAUUUGGAGGAGGCGUCAACACCAACCUCCAGAGCAUUAGCGAAGCACUGCGGGUGGUGGUGCUCUGGGACCCCAAUACCGGCAACUCCGGCCUUAUCGCCAUCUGGGCCUUGUCGCCCACACGUCGUGCCCGCAGCGGCCUCAGUGGUCAGCGCCGUCGACACCACCACCAGCUUCGGCGCUUCGCUUUUGAGUUUUUCAGCGCCGGCGGACGUCCGAGCUGCUUACUGAAUGCCAGAUGGUGGAAAAGAUUGUGCUGAUGUACGCCCGCGACAGCCCCAAACGCUGGAGCAGUUCAACUCCUUGCGGGUGCCCAGGCUCAGGUUUGGACCUUUCUUGGUGGAUGGUGUCUCCUUACUUCAUCUCUUUUACUUUCAACUUUGUCGCAGCCAUGGAGGAUUCUUAAUUUGAUUCUUCUGGUUCACACGGACUCGGUCGGACAAAGCAAUUUCAUUUGAGUAGAUAUGAUACUAAAUCACCUGUCAGUUAAUCCUUUCAUGUAGGAGAAGAACCAUUGUACUAAUCAGAAGAUGCGUUCUGGCAUCCACUAAGGGUGACCCCUUUUUCAGUUUUGUCACAUUAUGUUAGUUACUCACCUUAGAGAACCCCCUUUUUAUCUUCAUAUAAGGUUGCCUGCUACUGCUAGCGUAUUCAAUUUAAAACAGCUAUUUGCAUCAUUCAUCGGUUCAAUCUUCCGUUGAUCAAUUCACACCCAAAAAAACGCUUACUUGACUGGCUAAUAUCAAAUCAAAAUUUUAUAAAACUGACAAUCUAGCACUCUUAUUUCAUAUGAAAAUUGGAAAUCUCUCACAGUCUAUCGAAGGAAGAAAGGUGUACAUCUGUUUUAGCUUUUAUCUUUAUAAAUGUAUAAAUAUCAUGUACUUAUCUACUUGCAAUACACCCUAUUCAUUGUUUA